UGAGUGCCUGUGAUGGUUUUAAAUAUACUUUGAGGAAAUACCAUGAAAAGAAUUUAAUCUGAGGCACUUA